rnacentral:misc_RNA from 1 species
GAUGAAGAACUUAGCGAAAUGCGAUACGUAAUGUGAGUUGCAGAAUUCAGUGAAUCAUCGAAUCUUUGAACGCAUAUUGCGCUCUCUGGUAUUCCGGAGAGCAUGCUUGUUUGAGUAUCAGUAAACACCUCAACUCCCCUUUCUUUUUUUGAAAUGGGAGCUGGACUUGAGUGAUCCCAACGCUUUUCUCACCGAAAAGUGGCGGGUUACUUGAAAUGCAGGUGCAGCUGGACUUUUCUCUGAGCUAAAAGCAUAUCUAUUUAGUCUGCCUAAAAAACAGAUUAUUACCUUUGCUGCAGCUAACAUAAAGGAGAUUAGUUCUUGUGCUGACUGAUGCAGGAUUCACAGAGACAGCUUCGGCUGGCCUUUGUAAACUCGAUCUCAAAUCAAGUAAGACUACCCGCUGAACUUAAGCAUAUCAAUAAGCGGAGGA